UCGGUCGAUAUUGUUGCUUAGUCAACAAUAUAUGUCAUAUUAUAGCAAAGUAGUAUAACACAAUACAAUAUAAUAAAAUAAUAAAAGCAUUAUAUUCGUACAUUUUUCAGUUUUAUCCCUGGUUUUCCCAGUUAUUAUGAAAACCACUUGCAACGCUUGGAAAAUAUACGAAAAAUUAUCAAAAAUUACAAAGGUAACAACUGUUUAUUUUGUCGUCUCGAGUGUCGUGAAAUUUCCUCUUGAAAAAUAUACAACGAGUGCAUUCGAUCGACAUACUUAUUUUUUUACUAUAUAGAAUCAAUAAAAAAGAAAAGAGCUAAUUC